rnacentral:rRNA from 1 species
GAUGAACGCUGGCGGCGUGCUUAACACAUGCAAGUCGAACGGAGUUGGAUGAAACCUAGUGAUUCCAACUUAGUGGCGGACGGGUGAGUAACGCGUGGGUAACCUGCCUCACACUGGGGGAUAACAGUUAGAAAUAGCUGCUAAUACCGCAUAAGCGCACAGUACCGCAUGGUACGGUGUGAAAAACUCCGGUGGUGUGAGAUGGACCCGCGUCUGAUUAGCUAGUUGGUGAGGUAACGGCCCACCGAGGCGACGAUCAGUAGCCGGCCUGAGAGGGUGAACGGCCACAUUGGGACUGAGACACGGCCCAA